rnacentral:rRNA from 1 species
CACGUAGGGGGCGAGCGUUGUUCGGAAUUACUGGGCGUAAAGGGCAUGUAGGCGGCCCUAUAAGUCCGGCGUGGAAGCCCAUGGCUCAACCGUGGGAUUGCGCUGGAAACUGCAGGGCUUGAAUCAUGGAGAGGGAGCUAGAAUUCCUGGUGUAGGGGUGAAAUCUGUAGAGAUCAGGAAGAAUACCAGUGGCGAAGGCGAGCUCCUGGCCAAUGAUUGACGCUGAGGUGCGAAAGCGUGGGGAGCAAACAGG